rnacentral:rRNA from 1 species
AUACGUAGGGUGCGAGCGUUGUCCGGAAUUACUGGGCGUAAAGAGCUCGUAGGUGGUUUGUCGCGUCGUCUGUGAAAUUCCGGGGCUUAACUCCGGGCGUGCAGGCGAUACGGGCAUAACUUGAGUACUGUAGGGGAGACUGGAAUUCCUGGUGUAGCGGUGAAAUGCGCAGAUAUCAGGAGGAACACCGGUGGCGAAGGCGGGUCUCUGGGCAGUAACUGACGCUGAGGAGCGAAAGCAUGGGUAGCGAGCAGGAUUAGAUACCCUGGUAGUCCAUGCCGUAAACGGUGGGCGCUAGGUGUAGGGGUCUUCCACGACUUCUGUGCCGUAGCUAACGCAUUAAGCGCCCCGCCUGGGGAGUACGGCCGCAAGGCUAAAACUCAAAUGAAUUGACGGGG